rnacentral:RNase_P_RNA from 1 species
AGAGCUGAUUGGAUGAUUACUCGAUUUUUCGAGAGGAAAGUCCGGGCACCGAAGAGCAUAGUGCCACCUAACAGGUGGGAUUCGUGAGAAUAUGGACAGUGCAGCAGAAAGUAAACCGCCAGUAAAUGGUAAGGGUGAAACGGUGGUGUAAGAGACCACCAGUAAUAAUGGUAACAUUAUUAGCUGGUAAACCCCACUAGGUGCAAGAUCACGUAGACCCGAGAUACUGCUCGUAUCAUUUGAGGGAAGGGUAGAUUGCUAGAGUUUUAUAGAAAUAUAAGAUAGAGAGGAAUGAUCAUCGCAUCACAGAUGUACAGAACCCGGCUUAUAAAUCAGCUCAAAAA